CGCCUCUUGCUAAAUCGAAAGUAUAAGAGGUCCCGCCUGCCCUGUGACUAUAUGUUUAACGGCCGCGGUAUUUUGACCGUGCGAAGGUAGCGCAAUCACUUGUCUCUUAAAUGGGGACCUGUAUGAAUGGCAUAACGAGGGCUUGACUGUCUCCUCUUUCAAGUCAAUGAAAUUGAUCUCCCCGUGCAGAAGCGGGGAUAAGCACAUAAGACGAGAAGACCCUAUGGAGCUUUAGACACUAAAGCAGACCAGCAUUAAUACCCUAAACACAGGGCACGAAUAAACUGACCCCUGCCCUAAUGUCUUUGGUUGGGGCGACCGCGGAGAAACAUAAAACCCCCGCAAGGACCAAGUGUACUACACUCACAACUAAGAGCGACAGCUCUAAUUAGCAGAACUUCUGACCAAUAAGAUCCGGCAAUGCCGAUUAAUGAACCGAGUUACCCUAGGGAUAACAGCGCAAUCUCCUCUUAGAGCCCAUAUCGCCGAGGAGGUUUACGACCUCGAUGUUGGAUCAGGACAUCCUAAUGGUGCAGCCGCUAUUAAGGGUUCGUUUGUUCAACGAUUAAAGUCCU
rnacentral:rRNA from 1 species